UACGGAGGGUGCAAGCGUUAUCCGGAUUCACUGGGUUUAAAGGGUGCGUAGGCGGCAGGUAAGUCAGUGGUGAAAUCCUUGAGCUUAACUCGAGAACUGCCAUUGAUACUAUCUGUUCUUGAAUAUGUGGAGUAAGCGGAAUAUGUCAUGUAGCGGUGAAAUGCUUAGAUAUGACAUAGAACACCUAUUGCGAAGGCAGCUUACUACGCAUAUAUGACGCUGAGGCACGAAAGCGUGGGGAUCAAACAGGA
rnacentral:rRNA from 1 species